rnacentral:tRNA from 2 species
AGAUCAUAUGGUAGAACA